AGCCCAAGUCCAGGCCUUGCUUAGACUAACAUCAAACAUUCAAAUAUCCGUGCUUUGCCAGUGACAUGGGACAUAGUAGUCACGGUGAACUUUUCCUUCGCAGCGACAGACGGCAACAAACACGACAAGGAAAGGAAAUAUCAUAGUCAAAUAUUAACCCGAAUAUGCUACCUUCACUUUUCGGAUGGUUUGAACUUUUAUCCGUGAAUUGUUGAUACUACAGCGAAAGGGUGCCCACACCUUCAGUUAGCGCGACAGCUUCACUGCCCAGUUGGCCAGAUGGGAUGCCAAUGCUGUAAAAUGAUUAAAAGUUUCAACUACUAUGGAAGAGAAGACAACGCUUCAACUAGUCAGACUCAAUCUCACAGGCAGAAACGUAACUCGAUUUGCACUACCAAGCUGUGUUACGGAAAUUGCAUUGUCAGUGGAUCUGUUGCAGAGGUAGGUAAAUGGAAAUGGAUCCAGUGUGCUGGCCUUGAUGUGGGCCAUGACCAGCCUCUGUCAGCACUUCAUGAUGACCAAGCCUUGAAGUCACCCAAUUCCUGUUGGAUGGUUGGACCUGUUCCUUUCACUGCUGUUAAUAAAUUAAGAGUUCCUCAGAAUCAUGACUGUUACCUUGAAAGCGAAGUUCAUGGGCCAGUUAGACAUGCAUUCAAGUCAGCUGAUCAAAGUAAUCCUAGCCAAAGGAGGAGCAACGUGGGAAAAGACCACUAACAUCAUGCAAAUUUUGGAUCAGGUACCCUUACAAGCGGGAAAGUGAGUGAGAUCAUCCAUAUCGAGCCAUACAGCAUGGCCAGUUUUGAGCACCAGCGCUCCAUCCUGGGCUACAGCCAGGACUACAUCUCACAGGUCACCACCAUCAACCGCGAAGGGACGCACGUCGUGGCCUUUUGCCCCUAUCCCGUACUGGCAGGUCGACUGAUUGGAGAUCGGUUAGAAUGUGACGGAGUCGGAGAUUGAAAAUGUUAAGUCAUAACGACAGAAAAGGCUUAGGGUUAAUUCAUCAUGCAUUAAACAUUUGUUUUAUUUAACCGUUAUUUAACUAGGCAAGUCGGUUAAGAACAAAUUCUUAUUUACAGUGAUGGCCUACCAGGGAUCAGUGGGUUAACUAACUGUCUUGUUCAGGGGCAGAAUAACCUUGUCAGCUCUAUGAUUCAAUCCAGCAACCUUUCAGUUACUGGCAGACUCGCUCUAACCACUACGCUACCUGCAGCAUUAUCUUGCAGUGUUUGUGUUAGAGCAGGAGAGACUUCUGUGGAUUAAUAUGGGAAAGCCCAGUGAAUAUAAAUAUAACCGUUUUAUUCACAUGCGCAAUCUUAGUGAACUCAGGGACUUACAUUGGUUUACAUCGACAGAUACAAACCAUUUCCUUUUGGUACUCUACUCUCCCCUGUCUGUAGGUGUGUCUUUGGAGCUGUGGUUCUGUUUGGGGGUGUGCAGAGGGUAGAGAUACCUAAGGCUGUGGGACCUAUCCUCCUGGGUCAACGAUCAGACCCUCACCGACAACGUCCACAAGGUGAGGAGGGGCAACACAGAGGAGGUCCUCCCCAUGACGAAAUGCCAACAGGUCUCUGUCUCCCUUUGGUGAUAGCUACGAGGUGUGCAGAUCCCUACGGCUCUGCACGGUGCGGGUCUGGAACCUGACCAGGUCAAGGUUCACAGGGUGGCCAGUCAGAGUGGAUUAUGGUCUCCAUGGCAACACCAACGUGGCCUUGGCCCAUGACAUGAAGCUGUACAUCCUGACAGACAGAGGGACAGCCACCUUCACUGACACCCCCUCACCCAUAUUCCAGGGACCAUCUGGUAGUGUGGGACCUAGAGUCUGGGUAUAUCAAAGGGAGGAUCAAAGUGUCAAGCAGCAUCGUCAGAGACAGGCAGUCCCGGAUACUACCAUCAUUAAGGAGACCACAGCUCAGGUGAUGUCCUGGGAAGGAAGAACAGAGAGACACUCUGCUAAGAAGAGGAGGACGAAAAGGGAGGCGCAAAGGGAGCAGAGCAGGUUGGACAGGGAGACAUACAACUCCAUAGACCAAUACCUCCUCCGUGGGGACCAACAGCGUGAAGUCCCAGGAACACCUCCAUAUCCUGGAGGCCAGAACGUCCUUGCUGACCCGCCACAUCAUCGCCCUCACUCGCCCUGGGGGACAUCUGGUCCUGGCUAACUACAGCCAGGCUCAACAUACACCCUAACUCACCCUCUGGGACCUGCAGAAAGGCACGGUAAGGAAAUGAUUAAUGAAUGAGCCCGGAGUCUGUUGUGUGGCGAUCACAGAUGAUGCCAGCAGAGUCGCCUUUGGGGUCACACAAGACUAUCUCUGGCUACAGGAGCCUGAGGCUAGCCUGAGGCUAGGAGUGUCCAACCAGAUGUAUAUCCAUGAGAGGAGCAACAUCCAUUCUACUAACAGGUGAGCUGAUCCUAUUUGCCAGCCUGAUGAGAUCUACCAGUCUAUAAAUCUAAACCAACCAACAAAAUGGAUGAAACACAACCCACCACUGAGUAUGGACCUGCCGCUGUGAUACCAAUUUGAUAGGCAAAUAUGUGGACCAAUAACAUGUUUUCCACAAAUAAAUGCAACUAAUAUA